UUUUGCAAGGAUCGGCUGAUCUGUGUCGCAAGUAUAAUCCAAACUUGUGCAGGGUCACUUAUGACUCUGGGAAGAUCUGAGAUUUUCAACAUUAUAGUUUCAGAUGGAUUGUAACUUGCCAACUUUAAUCAUUUGUAGUGUUGGAUAUCAAAAGCAG